rnacentral:rRNA from 1 species
UACAUGGGGUGCAAACGUUGCUCGGAAUUAUUGGGCGUAAAGCGCACGUAGGCGGUUUGUUAAGUCGGAUGUGAAAUCCCUCGGCUCAACUGAGGAAGUGCAUCCGAAACUGGCAAGCUUGAGUACGAAAGAGGAUCGCGGAAUUCCUGGUGUAGCGGUGAAAUGCGUAGAUAUCAGGAGGAACACCGGUGGCGAAGGCGCUCAUCUGGCCCAAUACUGACGCUGAUGCGCGAAAGCUAGGGGAGCAAACGGG